GUGCAGUGAUGUUGACCGGGGUAGGAGUAGCCAGGUGGAAAGCAUGGCCAGCCAUAGAAAAAAGUGUGGUAUGGUGUAUAGUGUGGUAUGGUGUAUAGAAGGGUGUAUAGUGUGGUAUGGUGUAUAGAAGGGUGUAUAGUGUGGUAUGGUGUAUAGUGUGGUAUGGUGUAUAGUGUGGUAUGGUGUAUAGUGUAGUGUGGUAUGGUGUAUAGUGUGGUAUGGUGUAUAGUGUGGUAUGGUGUAUAGUGUGGUAUGGUGUAUAGUGUGGGAUGGUGUAUAGUGUGGGAUGGUGUAUAGUGUGGGAUGGUGUAUAGUGUGGGAUGGUGUAUAAUAUAGUUUGGUGUGGUGUAUAAUAUAGUUUGGUGUGUGGUAUGGUGUGGUGUAUAAUGUAGUGUGGUAUGGUGUGGUGUGUAGUAUGGUGUGGUGUAUAAUAUAGUUUGGUGUGGUGUAUAAUAUAGUUUGGUGUAUAAUGUAGUGUGGUGUGGUGUGUAGUAUGGUGUGGUGUAUAAUAUAGUUUGGUGUGGUGUAUAAUAUAGUUUGGUGUAUAAUGUAGUGUGGUGUGGUGUGGUGUGUAGUAUGGUGUGGUGUAUAAUAUAGUUUGGUGUGGUGUAUAAUAUAGUGUGGUAUGGUUUGGUGUGUAGUAUGGUGUGGUGUAUAAUAUAGUGUGGUAUGGUGUGGUGUGUAGUAUGGUGUGGUGUAUAAUAUAGUUUGGUGUAUAAUGUAGUGUGGUGUGGUGUAUAAUAUAGUGUGGUAUGGUGUGGUGUAUAAUAUAGUGUGGUGUAUAAUGUAGUGUGGUGUGGUGUAUAAUAUAUUGUGGUAUGGUGUGGUGUAUAAUAUAGUGUGGUGUAUAAUGUAGUGUGGUGUGGUGUAUAAUAUAGUUUGGUGUGGUGUAUAAUAUAGUUUGGUGUGGUGUAUAAUAUAGUAUGGUGGGGUGUAUAAUGUAGUGUGGUGUGGUGUAUAAUAUAGUUUGGUGUGGUGUAUAAUAUAGUAUGGUGGGGUGUAUAAUGCAGUGUGGUGUAUAAUAUAGUGUGGUGUAUAAUAUAGUGUGGUAUGGUGUAUAAUAUAGUGUGGUGUGGUGUAUAAUAUAGUUUGGUGUGGUGUAUAAUAUAGUUUGGUGUAUAAUGUAGUGUGGUGUAGUGUGGUGUAUAAUGUAGUGUGGUGUGGUGUAUAAUGUAGUGUGGUGUGGUGUGGUGUAUAAUGUAGUGUGGUGUAUAAUGUAGUGUGGUGUAUAAUGUAGUGUGGUGUAUAAUGUAGUGUGGUGUAUAAUGUAGUGUGGUGUGGUGUAUAAUAUAGUGUGGCGUGGUGUAUAAUAUAGUGUGGUGUGGUGUAUAAUAUAGUGUGGUGUGGUGUAUAAUAUAGUUUGUAUAAUGUAGUGUGGUGUGGUGUAUAAUAUAGUUUGGUGUGGUGUAUAAUAUAGUUUGGUGUAUAAUGUAGUGUGGUGUGGUGUGGUGUAUAAUGUAGUGUGGUGUAUAAUGUGGUGUGGUGUAUAAUGUAGUGUGGUGUAUAAUAUAG
ensembl:lncRNA